GAUGAACGCUGGCGGCGUGCCUAAUACAUGCAAGUCGAGCGAACGGACGAGAAGCUUGCUUCUCUGAUGUUAGCGGCGGAGGGGUGAGUAACACGUGGAUAACCUACCUAUAAGACUGGGAUAACUUCGGGAAACCGGAGCUAAUACCGGAUAAUAUUUUGAACCGCAUGGUUCAAAAGUGAAAGACGGUCUUGCUGUCACUUAUAGCUGGAUCCGCGCUGCAUUAGCUAGUUGGUAAGGUAACGGCUUACCAAGGCAACGAUGCAUAGCCGACCUGAGAGGGUGAUCGGCCACACUGGAACUGAGACACGGUCCAGACUCCUACGGGAGGCAGCAGUAGGGAAUCUUCCGCAAUGGGCGAAAGCCUGACGGAGCAACGCCGCGUGAGUGAUGAAGGUCUUCGGAUCGUAAAACUCUGUUAUUAGGGAAGAACAUAUGUGUAAGUAACUGUGCACAUCUUGACGGUACCUAAUCAGAAAGCCACGGCUAACUACGUG
rnacentral:rRNA from 1 species